rnacentral:lncRNA from 1 species
CUGCGAUGGCGUUCACGUCCAUCUCGCUCAUCAUCACUGACACGUCCUUGUUAUCUGGAAAGAGCACGGAAAUGCAGCGGCCUCCUUGAAGAUCCUGAUAAAUGAAGAAAAGACACAGAGAAGGAUGUGACAUGCCUGGGCCAUGGAGCACUCUGAGAUCUCAUCGGGGACACCACUGCCCACACCUCCAUCCCGUCCUGCGCAGGCCGACACUCACUGACGUUGAAGCCUGCCUUCAGUGCCUGGAUGUCUGCGGCCACCCCAGACAUGCGGAACCUUUCAAGCGGCCAGAACCCCUGCGAAUCACACAUGACCUUUGCGGGAAGGUCAGGAGGCCUGUCUAAGUCAAGUCAGCACGGGAAGGGCAUCUGACAGAUUCCAGGCCUGGGGUUAGCAGCCUGUGCCCCCGGCUGGGAGGUCAGACCCGGUGUUGGUCCUGCCACCCACGUGCUGUGUGAGAGGAGAAACCCUGACCCCUGCCCUGGGCCUUAACACACAUCCGACGAAUGAAUGAAGGGUUGCCUCAGCACCGGUGCUCCAAGUCCUGCGAUGCUAAGUGCUUUUCUCCUCUGAGUCUUAGCAAUGGACAAUUCCAAUACCUCCACACAGGACACUAGAGACUGCGUCGUAGGAGACUGGGACACAUAUCCACUUUGCUGGCUUGAUGAAGUAAACUGCUAAGUUGAGGAAGCCCACAUGGCAAGGAACUGUGGGCAGCCUUCAGCCAACAGGCAGCAAAAAGCUGAGCUCCUCGGAGCUACAGCCUCAAGGAAGUUACUUCUGCUAACAACCUGAAAAAGCUUGGAAGCUAGUUUCUCUCUAGUGGAAUUUUUAGGGAAGAGCAUGGCCCAGGCAAGAUAAAUAAUGCAGGAAACUGCAUAUCUUCUGGUUUACAUGAAGAUGGAGUGCUAAUGGAAAUGCCCAAAACCUUCAGAGAUUGACACGCUGUCAUUUUCCAUUUCCGUUCCUGGAUCUACGGAGUCUUCUAAGAGAUUUUGCAAUGAGGAGAAGCACUGUUUUCAAACUAUAUAACUGAGCCUUAUUUAUAAUUAGGGAUAUUAUCAAAAUAUGUAACCAUGAGGCCCCUCAGGUCCUGAUCAGUCAGAAUGGAUGCUUUCACCAGCAGACCCGGCCAUGUGGCUGCUCGGUCCUGGGUGCUCGCUGCUGUGCGAGACAUUAGCCCUUUAGUUAUGAGCCUGUGGGAACUUCAGGGGUUCCCAGUGGGGAGAGCAGUGGCAGUGGGAGGCAUCUGGGGGCCAAAGGUCAGUGGCAGGGGGUAUUUCAGUAUUAUACAACUGCUGUGACCAGACUUGUAU